AAGCUCAGGUGGCAACAGGAUGUGUCAGAUCAAGGAAGACUGAGACUCCAGGCCAACCCUCACGGCUGGUGAAGGCCAGGGACUCAAUCACAGGAACAAGACUUCUUUUGUAGAAUUAUCCUAUGGAAUGAUAUUUUCGUAAUGAGUCAACAAGGUUACGUGGCUACACCUCCAUAUUCUCAGCCUCAGCCUGGAAUAGGCCUUUCUCCACCUCAUUAUGGGCACUAUGGGGAUCCGUCGCACACAGCAUCUCCAACAGGUAAAGUGUGUUAUUUUGACUUGUAUGCGAUUAUUCAGUUCUCAGGCUCAGAGACAAGAUGUUCUGAAAGAGGAGAUUUGAAAGCAUUGAAUGAUCAUUAUAUAAUGAAAUGGCUUGAGAUUACAGGAUCAUUUGAAAAAGGCUCUCAUAGCAGAACUCUACAUCACUAGUUUGGUUAUUGCAUGGAAUACAAGUUUGGUUUUUAAAUAUAGACUAAAACAAACACUUCCUGUUUUAUUUUUACUGUGAGUCUUGUUCUUGCUGUUAAUUAGUGGUGUAAGGCUAUUGUAAACAUUGAAU
rnacentral:sRNA from 1 species